rnacentral:rRNA from 1 species
GAUGAACGCUGACGGCGUGCCUAAUACAUGCAAGUCGAGCGAACGGACGAGAAGCUUGCUUCUCUGAUGUUAGCGGCGGACGGGUGAGUAACACGUGGAUAACCUACCUAUAAGACUGGGAUAACUUCGGGAAACCGGAGCUAAUACCGUAUAAUAUUUUGAACCGCAUGGUUCAAAAGUGAAAGACGGUCUUGCUGUCACUUAUAGAUGGAUCCGCGCUGCAUUAGCUAGUUGGUAAGGUAACGGCUUACCAAGGCAACGAUGCAUAGCCGACCUGAGAGGGUGAUCGGCCACACUGGAACUGAGACACGGUCCAGACUCCUACGGGAGGCAGCAGUAGGGAAUCUUCCGCAAUGGGCGAAAGCCUGACGGAGCAACGCCGCGUGAGUGAUGAAGGUCUUCGGAUCGUAAAACUCUGUUAUUAGGGAAGAACAUAUGUGUAAGUAACUGUGCACAUCUUGACGGUACCUAAUCAGAAAGCCACGGCUAACUACGUG